rnacentral:rRNA from 1 species
UACGUAGGAUCCAAGCGUUGUCCGGAUUUACUGGGUGUAAAGGGUGCGCAGGCGGGCUGGUAAGUCUGGGGUGAAAUCUCGCCGCUCAACGGCGAAACUGCCUUAGAUACUAUCAGUCUUGAAUAAGCGAGAGAUCCGUGGAAUUCCGAGUGUAGCAGUGAAAUGUGUAGAUAUUCGGAAGAACACCAGCGGCGAAGGCAGCGGGUUGGCGCUUUAUUGACGCUCAGGCACGAAAGCAUGGGGAU